UCGACUUCGGAAGAGGUGUAUUUAUUAGAUAAAAAACCGACGCCCUUCGGGGCUCCCGGGUGAUUCAUAAUAACUUUACGAAUCGCAUGGCCUUGCGCCGGCGAUGGUUCAUUCAAAUUUCUGCCCUAUCAACUUUCGAUGGUAAGAUAGAGGCUUACCAUGGUGGCAACGGGUAACGUUCGUGAUUUGUCCGCUCCGCUUCGAAGCACUAUGCUAACGUCUCGCAGGGGGAAUAAGGGUUCGAUUCCGGAGAGGGAGCCUGAGAAACGUGAGUCCACCAUCUGCCGCGGACGCUUGAAUCAUUGCUAACAGAACGCAGGGCUACCACAUCCAAGGAAGGCAGCAGGCGCGCAAAUUACCCAAUCCCGACACGGGGAGGUAGUGACAAUAAAUACUGAUACAGGGCUCUUUUGGGUCUUGUAAUUGGAAUGAGUACAAUCUAAAUCCCUUAACGAGGAACAAUUGGAGGGCAAGUCUGGUGCCAGCAGCCGCGGUAAUUCCAGCUCCAAUAGCGUAUAUUAAAGUUGUUGCAGUUAAAAAGCUCGUAGUUGAACCUUGGGUCUGGCUGGCCGGUCCGCCUCACCGCGUGCACUGGUCCGGCCGGGCCUUUCCUCCCGGGGAAUCGCAUGCCCUUCACUGGGCGUGUCGGGGAACCGGGACUUUUACU
rnacentral:rRNA from 1 species